CCUACGGGUGGCAGCAGUGGGGAAUAUUGGUCAAUGGGGGAAACUCUGAACCAGCGACGCCGCGUGAGUGAAGAAGUAUUUCGGUACGUAAAGCUCUAUUAGUAGGAAAGAAAAUGACGGUACCUGACUAAGAAGCCCCGGCUAACUACGUGCCAGCAGCCGCGGUAAGACGUAGGGGGCAAGCGUUAUCCGGAUUUACUGGGUGUAAAGGGAGCGUAGACGGCAGCGAAAGUCUGGAGUGAAAUGCCGGGGCCCAACCCCGGAACUGCACUUGAAACUGUCAAGCUGGAGUGCAGGAGAGGUAAGCGGAAUUCGUGGUGUAGCGGUGAAAUGCGUAGAUAUCACGAAGAACACCGACGGCGAAGGCGGCUUACUGGACUGUAACUGACGUUGAGGCUCGAAGGCGUGGGGAGCAAACAGGAUUAGAUACCCUGGUAGUC
rnacentral:rRNA from 1 species